CCAUAUCUAUCUGCACUCACGUGGUGAUGCGCAUAUUGUUUUUAAAGUGAUCUUAUAAAUAUGACUAAUAUAAUAACAUAAAUAUAGGCUACGCUUACACAGAUCAGGAGAUAGAUUUCCAACAAUUCACGUUCCAAAACAGUUUUAAUAGAAGCUUUUUUUCAAUUAAUACUAAAAUCACAUAUCCACUAUCACCACAUUUUAUGGUUGGUUAGUUUGCUUUCACCCCAUAAAUAAACCGCAUCACAGUGCAGUUGGAAAUGGACCUCGGUCCAGCUGUUCAGUCCGUACCGAAGUUUGAUUGACAGCUUUCACACUAGCCCAAAUGAAGUGAUGAACUAAAUGGGGGGAAAAGCAACAGUUUGUUUUAACCAAACAGGUUAUGUGAAGGCACCCUGGAUUUGUGUCUACACACGACUGUCAAUCCACAAAACAGUCAAAAACUGCUCUCUGUUCUGGUGCCGAUUUUUUUUUUUUUUCAUAGUGUCGUCCCAUAGACAUGUUUCUUUUCACUGUCUGUUGCGUGUAAAUGGUUUAAUGGUUUCUGUAUGGACGCAUUUCCAUUUAGUCAGUCCGGGGAAUUCUUAAAGCAACAGGAAACUCAGAACUGUGAAUUCUCAUUACUGGUACAUAGGUGUUAAUUGUGCUGGCCUCCUCACGAGUUCCGAGAAAUGUGAUCAAUUUCUGACAUGCUGUGAUUAUUUUGCUGGCAAAGUGCACGUUUGAUUUCUGCCAGUGCAGCCAUAUCCAAUUGGCAAUUAGACGUGGAGAACCUCUGCAUACAGCCGCACAAAGUGAGAAAGCAUGUUGGAGUAUAGACGAAACACUGCCUACACUAAGAUUAUACUCAUGCCAAAUGAGUAAAAAUACCAUUGACUCACUUUUAUAUGGCCUACAACAGAAUAUAUGAUGCUAUAAGAUGGUAAAUAAAUGAACAGAUGAUAAAGAAAUAAUAAAAAUAGGUUCAAUUUAGAUGAAGUUAUUCAGUAUUUCAGUGACAGAGAAACAUCUGUGUGAGUGGCUUAAAAAUGUUCCCCCAAUAAUGCUUGUAUGGAACUGAAUUUGAACAAGUAGGAUAUACUGUAAUGUUUUUUUCUAUCAAAUUUAGCCUGGCUGUUUUUUUAAAGAUGGUUAAGAAGUAAAAUAAGCUCCACGUGGCUUUGACUGUUUGGAAAUGGUGUGCUCAGGUAAUUGAUGUGCCCAUGUGGGAGCAUGUAACCUUCUGGCUGUGUAGCCAUAGAUACAGAAACCUUUUUACGUCUAUGUGUGUAGCUGUAAGUGUUUUGUUAUCCAACUCUCUACAUUCUCUGCUCUCCAUAGUUUGAGGGCAGGAAUGAACUAAUUCAAACGUUUGCCACACAGCUGGUCCUAACAGAAU